rnacentral:rRNA from 1 species
AUGGGGUAUGAGGACAUGGCGGUGUUCGCCACAGUGCUCAUCCAGGAGCAGGCCGCCGGACGCACCAACCAGGUUCUCAUGGAGGUCUUUCAUGUCCACAUCAGCCGUAACCUCCAGGUGCCCCCGCCGCUGCCGCCAGCCCAGCUCUUGGGUACCCCGGCUUAUCAACCAGAUGGCGAUGCAUCCAGCACAGGUGUUCGCUGCCGGCACGAAGAUGCAGAUGGUGAUACUGCCGCCGCCGGGAUGCACAUGGCGGCACUGGUUCUCCGCCGGGAUGGAGAUAGAGCUGAUGCUGAUGGCCAUGCUGCCGACGGUGCCGGAGUUCCCCGCCAGGAUGGACAUGUCCCAGCAGUAGCUCGGGCGAAUCACGGCUUCCCCUACUGA